AUGACCUGCGGCGGCCUCCCCAUCUCGCCGGCGCCGGCGCCGAUGCCGACGGUGGCGGCCCCGCUGGAGGACGAGAACCUCCUGCCGGAGAUCCUCGUCCGCCUAGCCCCGCUGCCGUCCGCCCUCCCGCGCGCCUCCCUCGUCUGCAAGCGCUGGCGCCGCCUCGUCUCCGACCGCCGCUUCGUCCGCCGCUUCCGCGCCCACCACCUCCGCAGCCCCCCUCCCCUGAUCGGAUUCUUCGAGGAGGUCACCCGCGAACCCUCCCCGGACUCCCCCAGCAGCCUCUUCUUCACCCCUAUCCUGGAUCCCCCCAACCGCGUCCCGGUCAGCCGCUUCUCCUUGAGCUUCCGCAACGGCGACGGCCGCACGAUCCUCGGCUGCCGCGACGGCCUCGUGCUCCUCGUCGACGCGGGGGGUGCCGAGAUCGAGGUCCUGGUGUGGGACCCCGUCACCGGCGACCAGCACCGCUUCGUCGUCCCUCCGGUGAUCGACGAGCGCCAGGUCGUCGAGAUCUUAAACGGGGCGGUUCUCCGCACCGCCGGGAUCCUCGACGACCGCCCAUUCCGGUUCCAGGUGGUCUUGGCAGGCAUCGACAGGCCAAACAAGCGGCUGUUCGCCUGCGUUUACUCGUCGGAGGCCGGCAAAUGGGGCGAUCCCAUCUGGGUAUCCGUGGAUUCUGAGAGCAACGUUCGCACCACGGUUUCAAUGCGUGUUUCCAGCACCCUGGUUGGGAAUUCCCUCUACUGGUCGCUGAAUGGGGAUACUGCUGCCGUCCUUCAGUUUGAUUUGGGCACACAACGCCUGGCUGUGAUACCGCUGCCACUGGAUAAGUGCAGCGACGGCAGCCGCUCCUUCCGGGCUAUGCCGGUGGACGGUGGCGGGCUUGGCAUCCUUGAGCUGUUGGAUUUCAACAUCCAGUUGUGGAAAAGGGAGAUCGACCGUGCCGGUGUUGUUUCGUGGGUGCUGGGGAAAACUAUUGAAUUGGAUCAGCUUCUUUGCCUGGACAAGAGGGGAAUGAGUCCAAUGAUGCUGGGGUAUUGCGAGGUCAAUAAUGUGGUGUUUCUGAGGACAGUAUUCAGUAUUUUCUUGGUCCAGCUUGAGUCAUUGAAGUUCAGCAAGCUACCCAUACAGGCAUCUUACUUCUUGGUUCAUCCAUUCACAAGUGUUUAUACUGCAGACAUGGGCAUUGGUGGUGGACCUGAUGAAGCCAAACUUCUGUGUAAUGCAAUGCAUAAGGUGACUGUAUUGUGA
rnacentral:rRNA from 1 species